UGCAUUGGGCGAAGGGCGUGACGGAGCAGUUUGAAUCUCCGUCUCUUUCCCGCCAUCGCCGGCGUACAAAUUCUCUUACUCUCCAUACUCACCGGAAACAAUCAAGGGACGUUUGUUUGUCUGGCGAGUCCCUUACUCCGCUUGAGCACACGGAGGUGCCCUCUUUUGCCUUGCGCGAGUGUGCGGGUCGUGUGUGUGUUGUGCACCUGUGCUCUCGUCUUUGCCAUAGCGCACUGCAUGGUACGGCGGCUUCGACUGCCACACAUACACACACAGAUAUUCCACUGUUCAUCACACCAAACAGAUAAGCGAAUGGGCAAGUACGCCGCCGUCAUAAUCGGACCAGCCGGGUCUGGCAAGAGCACCCUGUGCGGCGUUCUGGCCGAGCACUAUGCCACCAUGGGCCGCUCCACCCACAUCGCUAACAUGGACCCCGCGGCGGACUCGCUGCCAUAUGAGCCGUCGAUGGACAUUCGCGACCUCAUCUCGCUCGAGGACGCGAUGGAGGGAAAAGGACUGGGCCCGAACGGCGGCCUUGUCUUCUGCAUGGAGUACCUCGUCACCGCCGGUGCCACGUGGGUGUCGCAGCAGCUCGGCGACUAUGCCGAAGAUUUCAUUAUCGUGGACAUGCCAGGACAGGUGGAGGUGCUGUCGAACCAGCCGGCCGUUCCCGCCUUUGUGCGCCUCCUCCAACAGGAGGGCUACUAUACGACGGUGCUCUAUCUGCUUGACGCGCUCGCCACGACGGCGGACAGCGGCAAGUUCAUUUCGGGCUGCAUGUUCUCGCUUUCCAGCAUGGUCUGCUUCGACUGCCCCUUCAUCAACGUUCUCACGAAAUGCGACUUGCUAAGCAAAGACUUCAAGGAGAACGGCAUGCUGGAGCACUUUUGCAUGUGCGACUUCGACUACAUGGACCUCUCACGGCUUCCGUCGCGCUUCCGUGCCAUGUCGCGCCAAAUCGGAGCGCUGCUCGCGGACUUCAAUCUGGUGACCUUUCGCCCGGUAGACAUCGAGGAUGUGGGGUACGUGAGCAACCUAUGCAGUGUGCUGGAUGAGACACUGCAGGUGGCGGAUGAGGCGGAGGUUCAGGAUCACGACUUGGCCGACAACUGACCCAAAACCGAACCUGUUCUCUUCAAUAGCGCGCAUGUGAUGUUGCAUCCGUGCUAGCCUCUCUCUAUCUAUGUAUGUGUUGUGUAACGAACCUUCCAUCGAGUAAUCAAGGACGCUGUGUAUGCGUUCAAGCCGCUUCUUGUCGUUGGGUACACAUGCAUACAUACAUACGGCUAUAUAUAUAUAGAGAGAGAGAGAGAAACGUAUGCAUGUAUGCAUGUGUCUUGUCGUGUGGCCUCCGUUGCUGUUGCGCUACGGCGUUCACAAAUGGCGCAGCGCAUGUACAUGUCUAAGGGCGGUUACACAGAGUCCUCCGCAACACUGAUGGGCCGGUCCCCGCUUCUUUUUCGUGUCUCCGCGCUUCGCCGUCUUCCCUUCCACAUGUGGCGGCGGCUUCCCCUCCCUCUCCACAACGCGAAUCCUUCGUUCAACUGCGCAGGCGCACCCUGAACGUGCGUCUUUCUGCUCACUAAGUGAUGCGUAUGGAGUGUGCGGGACAGCGUCGUUGCCGUCGUCCUUGUCCGGACUUGUGUAAAGACGCAUUCGAAGAGAACAGCUGCAGCGCCUGUCGGCACUUUCUCUUCGCUAGCUUCGUGAGUGUUCUUGCACUGUGCGGUGGGGACUCUGCACGUGGUGCUUCUUCUCUCGCAAGUGGGCCCCAAAUAGAGAACGAAUGCCGCUGCUCUUCUCGCGCGGAUGUGCCAUGCGGGGAGAGGGGAAGGGUUGGAGGUCCGCAGUGGAGCGUCGACAGAUGGGGCGGCAGCGAUCAUGACGCAGCACAGGUUUAUGCAACAUGUCACUGCCAUUGUGCACCUCAUUCCCUUUUUCUAUGUGGUACUCUUGCACCACAAUCCUCUCCUCGUCCUACUGAAG
rnacentral:misc_RNA from 1 species